CAAGUCGAACGCGAAAGCCCCGCAAGGGGUAAGUAGAGUGGCAAACGGGUGAGUAACACGUGGGUGACCUGCCUCAGAGUGGGGGAUAACGACCCGAAAGGGUCGCUAAUACCGCAUAACAUCCUGCCUUUGGAUAGGUGGAGAUCAAAGCCGGGGAUCGCAAGACCUGGCGCUUAGAGAGGGGCCCGCGGCCGAUUAGCUAGUUGGUGAGGUAACGGCUCACCAAGGCGACGAUCGGUAUCCGGCCUGAGAGGGCGGACGGACACACUGGGACUGAGACACGGCCCAGACUCCUACGGGAGGCAGCAGUGGGGAAUUGUUCGCAAUGGGCGCAAGCCUGACGACGCAACGCCGCGUGGAGGAUGAAGAUCUUCGGGUCGUAAACUCCUUUCGAUCGGGAAGAACGUUUCGGGGGUGAAUAAUCCCCGAAAGUGACGGUACCGAGAGAAGAAGCCCCGGCUAACUCCGUGCCAGCAGCCGCGGUAAUACGGGGGGGGCAAGCGUUGUUCGGAAUUACUGGGCGUAAAGGGGACGUAGGCGGCCAACUAAGUCCGACGUGAAAUCCCAAGGCUUAACCUUGGAACUGCGUCGGAUACUGGAUGGCUUGAAUUCGGGAGAGGGAUGCAGAAUUCCAGGUGUAGCGGUGAAAUGCGUAGAUAUCUGGAGGAAUACCGGUGGCGAAGGCGGCAUCCUGGACCGACAUUGACGCUGAAAGCCGAAAGCCAGGGGAGCAAACGGGAUUAGAUACCCCGGUAGUCCUGGCCCUAAACGAUGAAUGUUUGGUGUGGCGGGUAUCGAUCCCUGCCGUGCCGAAGCUAACGCAUUAAACA
rnacentral:rRNA from 1 species